GCGAGAUUAGUAUAAUGGUAGUACAUGACCUUCCCAAGGUUAGGGCACGGGUUCGAUUCCCGUAUCUCGCUCCA
rnacentral:tRNA from 1 species